AAUAGAUACCCAGGUAGUCCACGCCGUAAACGAUGAGUGCUAAGUGUUAGGGGGUUUCCGCCCCUUAGUGCUGCAGCUAACGCAUUAAGCACUCCGCCUGGGGAGUACGGUCGCAAGACUGAAACUCAAAGGAAUUGACGGGGGCCCGCACAAGCGGUGGAGCAUGUGGUUUAAUUCGAAGCAACGCGAAGAACCUUACCAGGUCUUGACAUCCCAUUGACCACUAUGGAGACAUAGUUUUCCCUUCGGGGACAACGGUGACAGGUGGUGCAUGGUUGUCGUCAGCUCGUGUCGUGAGAUGUUGGGUUAAGUCCCGCAACGAGCGCAACCCUUGUUCUUAGUUGCCAUCAUUUAGUUGGGCACUCUAAGGAGACUGCCGGUGACAAACCGGAGGAAGGUGGGGAUGACGUCAAAUCAUCAUGCCCCUUAUGACCUGGGCUACACACGUGCUACAAUGGACGGUACAAACGGUUGCCAACCCGCGAGGGGGAGCUAAUCCGAUAAACCGUUCUCAGUUCGGAUUGUAGGCUGCAACUCGCCUACA
rnacentral:rRNA from 1 species